CAAGUUGUGACUUGAUGUUGGAAGUGCAAUGGUUAUCUAUUAUGAGUCCGGUACUCUGAGAUUUUCAAUUGUUCCCAAUGGAGUUUCAAGUGGGCAAAGAAUGACAGUGCAUGCUGAUAAACAUAGAAGUGACAGAACUUUUGAUGUGGGAGAUUUGGUCUACUUGAAGGUUAUUCCCUACUAGUUACAGUCACUAGCAACUCAUGCCUACCAUAAACUUCACCCUAAAUUCUGUGGCCCCUUUGAAGUAUUGAAGAAAGUUGGUAGUGUGGCCUACAAGCUAAAGCUACCUGAGACUUCUAAGAUACAUCCAGUCUUCCCUGUCAGUUGCUUAAAGAAACAUGUGGGUCCUGAUGUUAAUCAUGUACCACUGUUACCACUAAUGACUGAUGAUGGACUACAAGCUCAAGAACCAGCAACAGUGCUAUAAAGAAGGGUCAACAAGAAGAACAAUGCAACUGAGGUUCAACUGUCAUCCAGUAAAAGGACAAGAAUGCUGAUGAAUCCACUUGAGAAGAUUAUGAUGAGUUCACUACAAAAUUUCCAUAAUUCAAGUGGUAAAACAACACCUUGAGGACAAAGUUUAAUUGAAGGUAUAAAAGAGCCAAACAAGGAGUAUAAAGAAAAAGCAGGGCAGACAUUUGCAAUUGGUUGAAGAAUGGUGAUUCUCUAUAACCGGUUAAAUUCGCUCUUCAAUUGGUGCUUAAUUGCAGAAUCUGUGUUCGUCCCUUUGGUGCUUUUCAGGUAUCUGUGUGUAUGCUUAUUAUAAAUGGUGAGUUUCUCAACUUCUGUAUGGAUUUCCUCUUUCAAUUGGUGCUAAAUUUUCGAUAUGAGAAUAUUUAUUGGUAAUUUGUGUUUGUAGAUUGCCUCUUUCAACUAACCAUGUCUGUUUUCUCUAAUCGACUUAAUCUGUCCCUAACCAUCUUUGUUUCUCAUAUUUGUACAAUAUUUAUAAAUUAUACGGAAUUCCCCGUCUGCACCAGUUCCAUGCACCCAAUCGAUCAGGUCAUUUUUCUCUAACCUUUUCCUAAUUUGAAUUUUAAUGAUGGUGGGGUUUUGUUUAAGUAUUGGUAUAAUUUGUUGCUUGAUUGCUUUUGUUGUUUUCCUCCACAUUUUGACUUAUAUUCGUUGUUCUACCAAUUUUAUUUGGGUGCUAAACUGCUUCUGUUAACCAAGGUUAUUUUACUUUUAGUUAGAUUUUUCUGCAGUUUUCGUUUGAUGAUGCUUUCAAUUCUCCUCUCAUCUCAAGCUACAUAGUUUGAAUAUAUGCGUUUUAAAUCUUCCCUUUUAUCUGGAAUAAUGGUUAUUUAUAUUUAUCUAUCUUUUCAUGCAGGAAGGGAAAAGGUGAACGCUUCAUGCAUGAAUUUUCACUGCAUUUCACACACCAAUGUGACUACAAAACCAGAGGGCUGCUUAAAUAUUAGUCACCACCAAGCUAAAAGGCCAUCAUUGUUUCUUUGUUCCUACACCAUACACAUGCAUGCAUAUGAAAAGAAAAAUCAUGCAUUAGAGAUGGAAACUGAAUCAUCGAUAGCCUGCAGAAGGGAAGACAAAAGGUUGUGCUUACUAUAAAAAAUGAAAAGGUAAUUAAACUUUUGAUUAAGCUUAAAUUUUGUCGAUUAAGCUUAUAUUUUGUCGCUUCCCCAGUGGUUAAGGCCUUCGUAUUAAUCUCACUGCCGGGUUCAACCCUCCCCCUUCCCUUAAUUAGAUUUGAAUCGGAUUUGUAUCACUCUAAAUUAUUCGUUUAAUUACCAAAUAAAAGAUAUGGCUACCCAAUCCAGUUUUGUAUUUUCAACAUCUUAAUCAUUUUUCUUUGAUAGCACUUUGUUUUGGUUUGUAAAUGAACUAUAUACUUUAUCUUGGAUCAUAGUAUAACGUUUAAUGAUUGAAUUUGUAAGACGGUUUAACACUUUUUUUCUUCUUUAGAAAGUUACUAUUCCUACUAGAUGCUCAAGUAUUGUCUUCUACUCUUCUACUUUCUCUUUUAUGUAUCUUCCCCAUGUAGUAGGCUGAUUACUUGAAACUAUAAGUAUAAUACUGAUGAUGCAGUACAAUCUACAAAUCAAAUGUUUCUUCUAGGAGGCAUAUCCAUAUAUAGAAGGCAAAGUUUUAAAAGUUUCACUGAAGGAUUCAAUUCGUCCUCGAAUUGUACUUUGUUUUCCACUUCAAUGCAUUUGAAUAUUUAGCUUUGUCCGUAAUUUGCUCAGGUAAACUUUGUCUAUUAGGGAUAGUUGAAGGCUUUACUCGAAGUUUUCCUACAAUCUCACCAAUUGCAGUUGGAGGAAAUUACUACCUAAUAAAAUGGGUAGUGAAUGAUGUUGUUUGUUAUUCUAUUUCCAUUUAAACAAUACAAAUUAUGUACUCCUCAUAUUCUAUAAAAAAUUUAGUUUAAUGAAAUGUAGUUAGGUUUUUUCAACGUACUAAUGAGUGUAAACUUUUGAAUUUUAGGUAAUUAAUGGAACACAAUGAUCAUACUCGUUUUGUUUUUGAAAUCUUCCCGUUUGGGCUCUUGAUGUAAAGUAAAUAGAAUGUAAAUGCAAACCAAAUACAUAUAUUACCAUGUUGGUUCAGCUGUCUAUUUAGUUUUUGAAUUAUUUGCAAAUAGCUGUGUUGAUUUGUAGUUUUGUGGGGUUACUGAAGUAAAAUGUGCAUUGCCUAGACUGAUGUAUUUGAGAAUGUGUUGUCUUUUUGCUGACUUUUGAGUAUCAAUUCAAUGCUAGGUGUUGUUAUCCAAAUUUUGUAUCUUCUCUGGAAAUGAUUCAUAGUUGUUGUGGAUUAUUGUUUCAAAACACGCAACAAAGUGAGGGCAGUUUUUCUAGUACUCGUACUAAGAAUUUGGUCUAUUAUUUUAAUUAGGUUUAUUAUUUACUGUAUAACUGUGAGACGCUGUAUUUUAAAAAUAAAUAUUUAUUUAGAGUUUUGAUGCUAAUUUUAUUGGUAAUUAAUGGUGCAACAUGGAACUUGGAGGUGGCAAGGGUGGAUAUGUUUAAGUGCUUAGACACUUGUAUUUCUUACACGUGUGAUUAUAGGUUUGAUGAAUAAGCACUAUAGGUUGCUUAGUCUUCAUCAAAAAGUGGCUGUGUGGAAAGAUUUUAGGACACCAGUUUAUCCUUGCAUUUGAGACUGCCAAAACUAUCCAUUUGCAACUAAGUUGUUGCCGGCUUCCCUAACCUAUAAAUAGGAGCUUUGCUCCUUUUUUAUUAGAAAUAAGG